rnacentral:lncRNA from 1 species
UUUUUUCAUUGACUCAAAACAAGGCAUUAAGUCAUUACAUAUUUCAGUCAACAAGUAAAACAAACAAGUAAUCACCUAAUCAACUACCUAACUCCACUAAUUUGCAUUGAAACUUACAAGAUUAGCUUGUACAACUUGCAUUGCUGACUUUUCAGUCAAUCAAUAUCAAAACAUUUACCUACUUAGUUCAACAUGAACUAGAUUACAAAACAAUCAAAAUGGAACCAAAACAGCAAGUGGAUUGGCAGCUUCAAACUUCAGUUGCUGCACACAAUGGCACCACUGCUUGCUGCUAUUUCUUCGAGCAUCACCACCUUUGCAUGUCGUGCAUGGCCACCUUUGCAUGGGAACUAAACUUA